UACGUAGGGUCCGAGCGUUGUCCGGAAUUACUGGGCGUAAAGAGCUCGUAGGCGGUCUGUCGCGUCGGCUGUGAAAACUCGGGGCUCAACCCCGAGCCUGCAGUCGAUACGGGCAGACUAGAGUGCGGUAGGGGAGACUGGAAUUCCUGGUGUAGCGGUGAAAUGCGCAGAUAUCAGGAGGAACACCGAUGGCGAAGGCAGGUCUCUGGGCCACUACUGACGCUGAGAAGCGAAAGCAUGGGGAGCGAACAGG
rnacentral:rRNA from 1 species